UGCUCACAAUUAAUCCGAUUACACACGAGCUUCUCUCCCUGGCCAAGACACAACCAUAGUAUGAUGAAGAACAUGGCACUAGCCGGCAAUGGUAUGAAGAAGUUAAUCCUCGCUGUUCUCUUACUGUGUCUAGUUAUAGGGCAGAUACAAGUGGAAGCUAAGAGCUGCUGCCCAUCCACCACUGCAAGAAAUGUCUACAAUACCUGCCGUUUCACGGGUACAUCCCGUCCAACGUGUGCAAAACUGUCAGGCUGCAAAAUUAUCAGCGGGAACAAAUGCAAGCCCCCUAACGACCACCUCACCCUUGACCCGGACACUGGUAAAUAAUAAAUUUAUCUCACUUGAUUUCUUCGUGAUUUGAGUCGUUAAUGUAUUUUCCAUCUGAUGAAACGUAUUGGUUUUGCAUUGAAGAGGAAGUUAAUGUGCUUAACUUCUGCAAGUUGGGGUGUGCGUCGUCUGUGUGCAACAACAUCAACGCUGGUAAGCAACUUUUGCUCAGACAGAGAAAACAAUAAUCAUUAAUUAGCGGCAGCUAGAAUCCUAUAAUCUAAUAUAUAUAUAUAUAUAUAAUUUUAUCAGCUCUGGGAAAUGAAGAGGCGAACGAUGCCGUUGAGAGUUGCGACCAAGCCUGCUCUAGCUUCUGCAGCGUGCAUGUUGGCAGCGCCACCGUGGUUGCUUAAGCAAAUGCAUCCAACUAGAUCGUCCUUGUGCUGAAUAAUUGGAUAUCGUAUCCACUUAAAGCUGCCUUGUGUAGUACGUCUUUGUGUCUCUCUUUAUAUUCCAAUAAGGUCGGUGAUCUUGAUGCCACACACUCAGAUGUGUGUUCAUCUCCAGAUACUACUCCAUGCUACCUGCCCUUUGUGUUUUGUUCAAUAACUGGGUAUCAUAUCCCAGCCAGUAUGCCGUCUGUUUUGUGUUUGUUUCCUUCUAGUUCCAAAGGGGUCAUCAUGAUGUUACCUUCUUUCAAUAUGGUGCUUUGCAUGACUACUGUUGUAUGGUACCAUCUUGUGGCCAAUAAGUACAUCUUAUCCUAUGACCUUUGCUAUGACCCUUUGCAAAUAAGUAGAAGAUUGUUAUAAGCGUCAAUACUCCGUAUAAAUUGAUCGCUGCUGUGAGUUCCCUUUCAGCUUAUCGUAGGCAUACAUUAUUGCUAGCACGGUAAAGCCAACCAACACGAAUGAUGAAGUAAACGUAGCGGUACUUCUGUAUACCAACACCCUUACUUAAAUGUACCGGUGUCAUUCCCUACUGGCACAUAUAUUCUUAUAUGCUAGCCAGCUUGUAAAAUUAACCAAUUAAAAUAAUUAUUUCAAGAUAGAAAUAACUUAUCGGUUUCUGGAAGCAUGUGUAAUGUGAAUUCAAGGACUCGACGGAAGUUGAAUCACUUCAUCUAUAUUGCUUUCAGUAUUUUGGGUAACUAAAUUUAACAUUUGCACAUACAAAUGUUAAAGUACAAAUGUUAAAUCUAGUUACCCAAGCAGAAUAUGAAGAUAGUUUAUAGUAUAUAUAUACUAUAUAAAUCUAGUUAACAUUUAGUCUAAAUGUUAAAUCUAGUUACCUAAAAUCCUGAAAGCAAAAUGUAUAAAUAUAUAUCUUUUAAGGCAGUAUAAGCUUCGAUUCCUAUUGCUGCUCUGUUAAAUCUCAUCUUUCGUUGUGGCCCAACACUCUAGUAUGCAUGUUGCACCAAGCUUCUUUGAGCCGCUCUGCCCUCUGAUUUUGCUGCGUAGGGGAAUCUUUAUCAGGUUGGGCUACUUCCAGUUGUGCGAUGUAAAGAUUCGUAUUUUCUAGAAGGUAGACAAAAAACUCGCGUUCUCUUAAGGCAACAACCGGAAGAUUCUGCAGCGCACAGGGCAUACCAUUAUUGUAGAAACGACCUUUAGUACCGAUCUCCAACCCCCUUUAAAACUGGUUUUGCAACCGGUACCGUUAUGUCGGUCCUUUAGUACCAGAUCAAAUAAGUACCGGUUGGUAACCAGUAUCAACUUGUUUUGCGGCCAAAAAAAUAAAGAAAAAAACAGUCAGAAGGCUCGCGCACACGCGCAUCACAUGAAAUAUGCGUGUGCGGGGUCCAUGGGAUUCGAACCCAUGAAAUCAAGCUGCGCGCGACCCUUCGUUACCAUCUCACCUACAUAGCGCAUAUGCUUUCCUGAAGUAACCCGUGGAGGAGGCUUUAGUACCGGGUCAUAACACCACCCGGUACUAAAAAUGACUCUUCAGUACCGGGUCAUAACACCACCCGAUACUAGUAUCGGAUGGUGUAAUGACCCGAUACUAAAAGGCCUCUAGGGACCCUCAAAUUUGAACCCGGUACUAAUGCUAAUAUUAGUAGCGGGUCAAAGUGCAGCCAGAACUAAAGCAUGGGAUGAAAGGUCAUAUUUCUAGUAGUGUAUAGUUGUUGUGAAGGACUGACUUGGCUGUCCUCUCUCUUCUCCAUCCCCUUGGUCUUACGCCGCCGCUCGCACGCGAGCCGGUGCCCAACCAGAGGAGUGAGAGCUAGGGGCAGGUUGGGAGGUGGGGAUAGUGACUGGUGGCCAGGGUGAUGGUUGAUCCUGGUGGGGUUAGGGUUUUAGGGUUUUCGAGCUUCCUAUGGUCGGCGAACCUAGAGGAGGAGCUCAACAUCAGCUGCAACCCGCGAUGGUGGUGGUUUGGCCGGCGCCCGAGGCGAGGCAGCGCGGGAGUGCUGCCGGUGGGUUGGUGUUGGCACUCAUUAUUGACAACUAUUUUGUUCAUAAAAUAACACUCAAACUUGCUGCUGCUGCUGCUGCUGCCAUCGCCACCCUAGCCAUAAUAUAAAGGCAAAAUUUGCUAAAGGACAUGCAAAAUGAUGCUAGUUUGCUGGCGGGCAUCGUUGACCUUGUAAUAUGCUACAAGACACUCUAGUUGUGUAUCAAUUUGCUGAAAGACAUUGCUAUGACUAAAAUAAUGUUUCUGGACUGAGUUGGAGAGAGAGAUGGAGUGAAAUGUCUGUUUUGCCCAUGACCCCACUGGUCAGAUCCUUCUUCUUCCACCCUCCUUUGUUCUUUCUUCAACCAUUACCCAGCUCCAGCGUGUUGCAGAUCUACGAGGGUGGCGGCCUGGGGCGAGGGGCAUCGCUCGCCCUUGGAGGAGCGCUGCGAGCGACGGCGCGGGGGCGGCAACAGCGCGUCAGAACCUGACUGUUCGUUAGCUCCUCUCGCUGCUGGGGAAGGAGGGGGAUGGGCCAUGGACGGGGUUCCCUUGAAAACCUCAGCGUCGAGCUCGGGCGGCUACGCGCAGGCAGCACUAGGCUGCUUCACGGGGAGGGGGCGCGGCCAAUCAUUGGCACCCCACUGGUCCAAUGCUGAUGAAGAUGGUGCCAGCGUCGUGUGAGGACAUCUCAUCUCCUCGAGUUCCAUGGCCAGCACAGGUGAGCUGCCGCUACCACAAAACAGAGGUUUCGUGAGAGUCAAAAAACCUUAUGAAAAUAGCUAAAACCAUCAUGAAAAUAAUCCGUGACAUGACACUCUCACGAAAAUCCUCUCACAAAUAUGGUGCCAUGAAAAUACCAUUUUCAUGAGAGUGAACUGUCAUGAUUUUAUUUCGUGAGAGUAUUUCCUAUCAAUGACCUCCACGAAAUACUUUGUGCCACCAGGUCUUCAAGAUCAUUUUCAUGAGAGCUGAACAUCAGGAAAAGUCCGCCACAAAUGUUUUUCUUGGAGCCCCUAACUCUCAUGAAAAUCAUGCGGGCCGCCACGAAAAACAGCAUGACCAAAUGACAAAUUUCAUUUUCAUGUGUUCAUACCGCCAUGAAAAUGGUCAUUUUCAUGAGAGUUGAUGAAACAAAAAAUAGUGCCAUUUUCAUGAGAGUUCAAGCAACCAGGAAAAGACACUAAUAAACAUCCAGAUCCCAUCCAGCACACAUCCAUGCACAUAUAUAACCCACAUAUUGCUCCAGCACACAUCCAUGCAUAUACAAGAUCCAAAUGUUAAUAUAGUAGACAUCCAUGCCUGAACUAGUCUGCCACACAAGUCAUUGAUGCUACAAAUCCUACAAUCGCAGCAUGUGCAUACAAGUCACAGAAUGAGACAAUGUACCCAAAACUAAAAGGUUAGCAUCAACUGUGCUUCAACCAAAGUUGUCAUCCCAACUCUCCUCUUCAUCCAUGCCAUUCUUGUCGUGGCCGUCACUGUCAGUCCCCAUGGCAUUGCCAAUGCUGUGCAUGUCUUGGUAGGAACCUACAUGUGAUGAACUAGUAACCUGCAAAAAGAGCUCAAAGGAUCUUGUUCUCAUAUUGUAGCUGUGAAAUUCUUACAAGUAGUGUUGCAAUCAGUUCACUUUGAACCAAAAGAGCUCAAAGGAUCUUGUCCUAAAAGUUCCUCAUAAAGCUUAUGGGUUUGCUGGUGGAACUGGAAGGGCUUGAUGCAGCAGAUGCCAUUCUGCAAUAGAGAAAAAUUUAGAGAGCAGUACUAGUUAAAAUUGGAUGCAGAAGAUACACAUGAAACUAGUAUUUAUACAAGUCUAUACAAUUAAAAUCUAAGGAGACUUAUCAUCGUUUUCAUGUGUUGUGAAUUAAAAUAAUGAAGGAUACACUGUUAGGUGAAAAUUCAAGAAACAAAAUUUUGCAUAGAGAUAAAGGUCCAACAUUAUUACAAGUUAAGGUAGUUUUAAAUAUCCUUGUAAUCUUCCUUUGGUUUCCUCAACGAUUCGAAGACAAUAACCUUGCUUCUAUCAAUGAUAAUUAUAAGGAGAAUCCAGUGGAAACUGUGUAUUCGUAUUAGAACUACCUAAGGUUAAUUAGGUUAGGAAAGGAAAUUGAAAAUAGAUGGUACCCACACUUACUUAAAGUUGUCGGGCAAUAGUAUGUAAUGCUUGUAAUUCCGUUGCUCCAAGAAUUUGUAUAUGUGGUCCAAUGUAGACUUUGGUUGAUCCCGUAUCUGCUGUUGGUUAAAUAAGUGUUUCUAGCCAUUUCUAGCCAUUAGAACCGGGACUAAAGGGGGCUCUUUAGUACGGGUUGAUAUUACUAACCGGGAUUAAAGAGCCCCCAUUAGAGUUGGUUUUUGGAUGCGGAACUAACAACUCCUUUAGUCCUGAGUACGAAAACAACUGACAUAUUUGUUGCUGGAUGGAAGGUCCUUUCUCUACCGUGAAUAUUGCCAGAAAGAAUUGAAAGAGACUGCUUGCUAAAAAUAUGUCAUAGAUGUAGACCAAGCUACCAAGGAGGUAGACCAAACAUGAUACACACCAUGCGUACCUUGCUGUGCAGACUAUGCAUUGACAAGAUACCCGACCACAUGUUGGCCUCGGUCACAUCAAAAGAAUCAUGUAGGCCACCAAUAAACUACUUGAAGCGGCAUUCCGUAUCGUAUAUGCAUUGCCGGUUCAUCUGCAUUACAUUACAUAAAGCACUAUUAACUAUUUGAAUAAAAUGAACCAAUUUAAAAGUAAUGUGUUGUACUCUACUAUAGAAAGCCCUAUCACUGCCGGAUCCAAAAACAUCAUUGUUAAUGGUGGUUAAGUACCAAAUAUGACGGUCAAUAUUCUCAAGAAUAAUGGAGAAUUAGCAUUUCUUAGACACAUAUUUGGUUUUGAACAAUGUAGUUCCACAUGUCUUUGGAGAUUAUUUGGGUGUGGGUGAAAUAAUACAAAAAUAAGGAGAAAACACACUCCCAUGGCGAAGAAACACAACUCCAACCAAUGAGAGAUAGCCACAGGGGCAGCACACGGAUCCAUGGGCCCACUAACCGCAUCAAACCAUCUUACCAAGGCAGGUAGCACCCACAACCGUCAUUAGGACCCACCUGGAAGUCUACCAAGAAGAAGGUUGCGAGUGGGGCCAGGAGGGGUUCGGUUGAAUCAUCUCUAGCUAGCUCCCCUCAUCCCCAGCUGGUGGGUGGUGGUGGUUGAUGGUGUCCCUACAUCAGUUAGAGGAGAUUCCCCCAAAUAUUCCUCCUGUAAACCACCUCUAUGGACCUAUACAUAGAGGGGUGUGCUCUCCAUUCCAACACACACCACAAGUUGAAUCACUCUCUCCCUCUUUAGUUUCCAAGUUUAUGGAGUUAGGCUAGAGUAGCUCUGCUCAAGGUUCCAAGUCCACUUGGAGUUAAGCAUAUGUCUCUUGUAUCGUUAUUUCCUAAAUUGACUUUAUGCUUAGUUCUUAUAUGCAUGAGUUAGUCUAAUACCCUUGCUAUAUUGAUAUGCUCGGCUUAUAUGCUCGUAUGCUAGUCAUAUACCCUUGCUGUCGUAGUAUAGGCUUAUAUGCUCUCAUGUGUGCCUGUAGACCUUGCUAUAGUAUAUACUUGUUGUGCAUACAUACCAUGUAUAGGCUAGUCGAUCUAUACCAUGGCAUUGGUUCAAUAGCCAUGUUUUUGGUGGCUCCAACCCUAGUCACAAUAGCUCGGGACAGCUGGAGUGUUGUUAAAAAUGCAAGAGUGGUGCUUGGGUUGUUUAGCAUCGUUGGAUAUGGGUUUGCCCCACGGGUUUCUAACGGUAGGCGGCAGCUAGUGACAUCCCUGUCCGUCCUUCGUAAUCCCCCCACAUUCAGGUACGCCAUAAAUGUUCGUAAAUUAGCAGUAACUACGCCGGUACACCUGUAGGGUAUUGUCUCCCUGUAGUACCUUGGUGCAUAGAACUAAGUCCUAUACACUGUGUGUGUAUGUUUACGCUGAUAUGAUCUGUGCAGUAUAUAGGAUGUAUAUAUGAACCUAGAGCUAACUCCUAGUCCGUUCUCCAUAGCUUAGUUAUCUUGAGAUGAUUCUUCUGUAUGUGUAACACUACCCAUCUUAUCAUUAUCCUUGAUCCUGUCUUGUGUAAUAUAUCUACUCAUCCUAUGAUAUACUCAUAUGCAUAGUAAACUAUUUUGACCUACCCGCCUUCCUUUGGGAAAUAUGAUACCUUGGAAUAAUCCUAGGUGAAAUCCUACAACGGUAUAUCCAUGUAAAUGCGGAUUUAUUCAUGACCAUUAAAUAUACCAACAAUCAUCACUGUGAGUUUUGGGCGUCGUUAGUGAAGGGUUGGUAGUGAUGGGCAUCCCCUUCACCAAUGGACCUGGAACCGGCGGUGAUGGCUAUUAUAAAAAAGGGGACACCACCCAGCGUACCCCACGACCCGGCCGGCCGCACCUCCCAUCAUCCCCGCCAGCCGCCCUUCCUUUUCGCCGGCCGAGCAUGGUCCCGGCCUUUGUCCCUACCACCUCGCCUCCACCGCGACCCCCCGCCGAUGCCCUCGUGCCUGGCCCCCCUCAUCUUGCCGGCCACCCUCCCGAUGCGUCCACUGGGGCCCUCGCACCACCAACCGCCCUUGCUUAGAGAGGGAGAGAGAGGAGGGAGGUGAGGCCACGCACCUCGUCCUACACCGCCGCUGUUUCUCCUCGGCCCACCGCGCCUCACCCCACACCACAGCCGCGCCUUGCCAUCUUACCGGCUGUGACGCCUCAUCUCACCGGCCACCGUUCCUCACCCCCACUUCGGUCGUCGCCGCUCCUUGCCCUACCGCUGCUCUUUGCCGCUGCGAAUGAGCGCCGAGUGGAGGAGGAGGGAUGGGGCAGGAGGAGGGCAAGAUCCGGGAGGAAGGGAGAGAUCUCGGGAGGUGGAGAUGGAAGGAUAUGGCGGAAGGGAGAGAUCCAGAGGGAGAGAGCAGGGGAGAGAGGGGGGCGUGUGGGGAGAGAGCGCGUGUGGGGUGGGGCCGGGCUGGUGGGAUGGAAGGGAGAGGGGCUAGACGGGCGCAGUGCAUUCAACUGGAUGAAGUAAAUAUUUUGGAUUCGAGACCCCAGCUUUAUUAUCACCGCUGGUCCGUAGUACCAUCCGGUGCCUGCUCGUAAUUUAAUUUGAAUCUGCGGUGAUGUUUUAUUAUCACCAUCGGAUCAUAUAAAAAUCCGGCGGUUAAAAAUCCGCUGGUUUCGAUGAAAACCGACGGUGAUAGGAUGACUGUGAUAGUCUCUUCUCUAGUAGUGGUAUAUUAGUACCGGCUGCCGGAUGGUGUUGCCGACCAGUACUUCUCCGGGGGCGAUUCAGUACUGCUGUUAGCAAAGCUUGUUCUCUAUGAAUUUGGGGAUGGAAAGCUAGUUCUCUAGUUGUGAUUUGUUACAUAUAUAUCUAUGAUAGUCUAGAAAUUGCAUGUCCUUCGUUGACAUAGUUGAAGCUGCUUCAAGAAUUUACUUCGUGCAGUCGUGCAGCAUAUUGGAUUAUCACCUAGACAGGAUACAUAGGUGAAGCAUUGGAUGUGAUUGUGGCCGAUAAUUAUGCAGGACGCUGUUGCAAUCAACCACCAAGAAGUCUGGAGUGAUGGGGUUGCCUCAUCAAUAAUUUUUAUAUAUGGCUGCAGUAUUAUUAAGCCCACGUCAAUAAUUUUUUGUCCGCACCAUAUAUCGAUGGGGUUGCCUCAUCAAUAAUUCGCGCAACCAGACAAGCUGCAGACUCAAUAUGGUACGAAGCUAGUUGCUCAGCCCACAUGCUCUGAUAUAACAUUGACAUCUGCUGAUCUACAGUAUAUAUGACCAGAAAUAUUGUGCCCACCUCAAUAACUUUCUGAAGUAUCGUGGGGAAGAACCUACGCGUACUAUGCCUCGGAACUAACUGACAUAUCGGCCCAGGCGGUCUAGGCCGAUUGGACUGGCUCUUCCUUGUGGCUUCUCACAUCCCCUUCGUCCCCAAGUAAUUUCAGGUGUUCUGUAGUUUUCUUUUCACUUGCAUCUGAGCCUCCUAUAUCAAUAGCUUCGGGAUAAGAAUGCCUCUUGAUAACCUUCCAAAUCCUCGCUUGAUUCACAUUGAUUCCGAAAUCAUCUUGCCAUAUCUUCAGAGACUUAGGUCCUAAGGCAUCAUGGAGGAUUGCUCGCCAAGAAUGAGCACCAUUGGGCUCCUGAGGACCCUAGGCCGAUCAGCCCGGGCUCUAUAGGUCGAUUGGCCCAGGCCCUCUCUGGGCCUGUUGGCCUUCAUCUUUCUUUGAGUCGACGCUUAUUCAGGGCUUUGUCCAAUUAUAGUCCAUUAUAGUCUAAUUUCCUAAAAAACAGAAUGUCCUCCAAAAUACAAUGCAUAUGUGAAAACAACCCAAUUAUUAGGUAUGAUCAAUAGUUUAGGUAUUAAAUUAAUAUUAUUAUUUAAGAUAAACAGGGGUAAAGGGUGUCAUUAAUAACAAGCGCCAACAAGCGUCCUAGCUGUUCAAUAAAUUUUUUCUAGUACCGAUUGGUAACACUAACCGGUGCUAAUAUGUACCCUUUAUUACCGGUUAUUUUACCAGGUACUAAAGGAGACAAGAGCAUCCUAACAUAAGGUUAAUAUCAUCCAUUUCAUGAGUAAAAUACUAUGAUUCAAAAAUAAUUCAAAUCCCUUAAGACAAUACCUAUCAAAUGAGUAAAUUGUAAAUAGAGUAAUCUUGAUCAAACAAUGUCCUAAUGAAACGGAACACUUCUGGUUCGUGUAGAGCACAAUAUAGAAAACAGUAGGGUAGCUGUAUGAUUGACACGUGGUCCAUUAAUUAUUGAGCCAACACUAUGGACAUGUCUUCAUGAGUAGUGUACUAGUCAUAAUACAUGGUAUGCAGUAGGUGGAGGUAUUGACUUAGCCAUGCUAUGAGCACUUAGUUACAACAAACACUUUGCCAUUAUCGAGCAUCCCAAAUCACUACAAAAUCCAUAGUUUACCAUAUACUACAAAAUCUGAGUUAAAAUAAGAGCAUACACGGAAGAGUCCGAAUGCACGGCACAUUGAAUUACUAGACAAAAUUUAUGGGACAAGGUUUUGGGUAACCGCAUGAAAAAUAUUGGAUUUUACUGAACACUUAGUUACAAUUACCAUGCCCGUGAGCACUUAGUCACCACAAACAUUUAACCACUUUAGAUCAUCCUGAAUCCCUAUAAAUUCUAUACCUUACACCGUACCAUGAAAACGACAAGAACAGAGACAGAUGCGGUGAAAAUCUCCAGAGCAAGCCUGAAAUUAAAAUAAGAGGAGGCAGUCACUAUCGACAGGACACGGAGAUUGCUAGCCAUGACAGAGGAAGACAUGAUAUGAUAUUCACCUCUGAAAUGCAGCGUAGACUAAAUGAAGCACAAUUGCAAGUGAGUGUGGCAGAUAAUGGACCAUCGAGACCAUCGAAUGGUAUGAAGCAUGAUUAUCACCUAGACAUGAUAUCCUAGACAGGACGGUGAAUUGUAAAAAGAGUAAUCUUGAUCAAAGAAUGUCCUAAUGAAACGGAACAUUUUUGGUACGUGUAGAGCAAAAUAUAGAAAACAGUAGAGUAGUUGUACGAUUGAAACUGCAUCCAUCGACGUGGUGCAUGAAUUGUUGAGCCAACACUGUGGACAUGUCUUCAUGAACACCAUCUAGUGAGGACAGCAUGCAGAAAAAUAUAAAAACAUGUCAUAGGGAGGCAGACCAAUCUUGCGAGGUAGACGAAACGUGAUACACGAUCUGCCUACCUUGUCGUGUGGAUACCCCAAGUGAAGAUGUCAUAGAGGUGCAGACCAAGCUAGCAAGGAGGUAGAUGAAACGUGAUACACGGCCUGCCUACCUUGCCGUGGAUAUUAGUCCUGAUAUCAUUCUAUUGUUCAAGGAAUAACACUCAAUGCUGCUGCUGCUGCUGACCUGGCUCCAUAAAGUUAUAUUCCUCUAGCCGCUUGCACUAACUUUAUCUGAAGUAUUAUUCUCUCUGCACUGUAUAUAUGGUUACGGAGUUUGCUGGAGUAUCCGGGGGGAAGAACCUACAUAAUAUGUCUUGGAACUAACUGACAUUGAUUCACAGACAAGGUGCUGUUGUUGACAUGGUACAGUAAAUAAUAUAGUUUACCAUAUACCGUAUACCAUUAUAUGUUAGCUAAAAUAAGAGCAUAACAUGUCGCAGGAGUCCAAAAGCACCGGUUGAGGACCAGGUACAUUAAAUUACUAGAAAACAAAAGGGGACAAGGUUUAGGUAGCCACAUGAAAAACAUUUGAAUUUACUGUACCAUGAACACUUAGUUACCAUGCCGGGAGCACCUAGUUAACACUAACAUUUAGCCACUUUAGAUCAUCCCGAAACACCAAUGACCCUCAAUAGCGACAAAUUUUGGUUUAAAUGCCGUCACCAAUGAUCCUCAAUAGUGACGUGUUUAGGUUUAAAUCCCAUCACUAAUAACCCUUGGUAGUGACGUGUUUUGGUUUAAAUCUCAUCACCACUGAUCCUCACUAGUGACGUGUUUUUAGCAACACACGUUAUGAAUGACUUGUCAUUGGUGACAUGUUAAACGCGUUAUCUCAAUGGCAAAUCAAUGGUGACGUGUUUAAAAAAACAUGUCACUGUGAGAGUUAUUGGUGAAGGGUAAUUAAAAUGCAUCACUAAUUUUGUAGCAUUAGUUAUGAUAUAAUUUUGUAACGCAAAAAUCUACCAUAGUAAUGAGGUUUAGAGCCAUCACUAAUGUGGGUUUCUUAUCGUAGUGAUGCAAGCUCUACAAGGUGCUGUUGUUGCCAUUUUAAAGCAUCCCAAAUGACUACAAGAGUCCGGUUGAGGACUAAACAAAUUGAAUUACUAGAACCAAAUGUAUGUCCAGAACAAAGAAAGGGGUCAAGGUUUGGGUAACCGCAUUAAAAACAUUGAAUUUUACUGUACCAUGAACACUUAGUUACCAUUACCAUGCCUUGAGCACCUAGUUACCACAAACAUUAAUUUAGCCACUUUAGAGGUUCCACAAUCACUAUAAAUAAUAUACCAACACCGUACCAUGAAAACAUCAAGAAGAGAGACGGGUACAUGGACCACCAUCAAGUGAGUAGUGACAGCACGCACAAGAAUACCCGGAACCUUUUAGCUUGUCUGUAGUGAUCUGUUUUCUUCGCCACAAAUAAUGAAAGAGGCUGACCAAGCUAGCAACGAGGUAGAGCAAACGUGAUACACGUAGGUUUCAUUCAAGACAUCCAUGUAAGAUUCAUUCAAAACAUUCAUGGAAAUUUCUUGUAAGUUUUCAUGUAAAUUUCAUUCAAGACAUUUGUUAGAGGUGUUGUAUAUACACUUAACGUACAUAUAUCUAUGAUUUCAUGGUUGUUAGUGAUGGCAGAUGAGGAGCAUGCAAGGUGUUUAAUGGAGCAGAUUAUUGCUAGUGGUAGUGGCUCCAACCUGCCCGUAACGUACACCGACGAAGAGGGCAGCCAGGCGGACAUGUUCCUCAACAUGUCCGGUGAUGGCAAUGAAGAGCCCGAGCAAAACCUUGCCGUGACGGAAGGUUCCAUCGAGGUAUAUAUCAUUUCCAUUAUUUUACCCCAUCUAUAAUUUCAUAUUCAUUAUUACUAUGUGCUAAUUAAUGAAUCUUGAACCGUUAGUCCUCUAGAUCAACGAACCGAAAUAAGCCCCGAGGUCUUACAAAGAUAAUGCAGGGAAGGCUUCACAUCAUGGAAGUCACAGAAGAGGGCACAUCGGUUGCUCCCGAACAUGUGGCAAGAAAGUACGUGAGUCAAACCGGGGCAAUCGUAAGGGACAACAUGCCCAUCAGCAUCAGGGAAUGAAAGAGCAAUAGAAAUGAUCUAUACGCACCCCCGGAUACACAAAAGGAUAUGUUGUGGGCAAAUAUCAAGAAACACUUCACAUUUCCCAAAGGAUAUGUUGAAAAAUAUGUGAAAGCGUGGAUGUUGAAGAAGAUGGCCACCCAAUUCCAGACAUUCAAGAAGAUGUUGGAUGCCAACUUCAUCAAGAAGGGUCGAACUCCGGGUUUCAAUGAGUGGCCAAAGUUAAGGGACCACUGGGAGUCGUUUGUCGAAUACAAGACGAGCGAAGGUGGUGCGAGUAAGGUUCACAUCAAUGUUGCCAAUGCUAGCAAGGAGUACCAUCAUCAUCUAGGGCGACGUGGUUACAGCUCUGCAAUUCCCAGAUGGCGCAAGAUGGAACAAGACCUGAUCGAUCGGGGUAUCGUACCAGCAACUCUUGACUGGAUCGAUUGAAAAAUUGGUAUUAUGCUCAUGAAGGCAAUCUGAGCCAAGAGGAUCCGACAUUGGUCUUCAAUAAAACAAUACGUCAGAAGGUCGGAAGGCUUAUUAGGAACAUUGAAGAUGCUAAAGCUGGGAGGUUCAAGGUGGAUAGAGAGAAUGAUGAACUCACAUUGGCCCUCGGGACUGUCAUCUCUAGCACUUCCAGCUCCAGGACUAUCGUCACCACCGGGACCGUCGCUUCCUGCUCGAUCACAGUCUCCAUCUCCAGCACAUCCUGGUGGUGCGAGCGACGACGACAACAACACCCCUCCCUGCCCACCAUUGCCGGGACUAAGACCCGCAUUGAGUAAGGAACCUGCAACACCACUGAAGAAGUCGCGACCACCACCUUCAAGGCAAGUCAGCAAAAGAAGAAAGCAGAGAAGCCUAAACCCACUGAGAAGCCAGCGACUGAUAUGACCGAUGCGGAAAGAUGGAAGGCACUCAAAGAAGAAUGCAGGGAGUGGUUCAGCGAAGGCGAAGGUGAGAAAGUCGUAUGAAUCGAAUUCAAGGAUAUAUAUGAAGUGAACCAUCAGGAUGCCCUUGAUGUCUCUCUCAUCAGCGCCUAGGUUCUGUAAGUGUAUGUUUAUCUAUAAGUAAAUUUUGGCUCAUAUCAUUAUUUUUUUUGCGUGCGUCACCCUACUAACUUCGUCUUCCAUUUUAUGUAGGAUGCUAAUUCAGACGUGCCGCAUAGAAGCGUACUUCCAUGUUGGAUUCAUGGAUCCAUCCCUAGUUAACCAAAAGCCGAUACGGAAGUAGCUAGAGAAAACGUUGGAGGUGGUGUACAACCUCCUGGACAAACUAAACUACAGAAUAGGGGCAAUAUGUGAGGGUCUUGUAGGAUUCCUAGUGGACGAGGUGAUAAAUCCAUAAGGAGAAUAUCAUUCCAACGGACGAGCAUUAGACACACUGAGCAACACCUAGAUGGGAGGAUCCUAGGAAUGACCUCGACAGAUUUUGGUAUAAAUAGUAAUUGUGUAAAUACUAGUUUGAUUUGUAUAGGAAUAUACUAAGAAUUGUAUAUAUAGUAAUUGUACAAAUACUAGUUUGAUUUGUAUGAAUACUAGAUUGAUUUUAUUAUAAAAAAGUUUUAAGUCGUACGUGCAUGCGCCUACAAAGGCGCGGAUGCCUUUUAAUCCCAGUCGGAAAAACAAACUGGUACUAAAGGGGCUCGUGCCGCACCUGGCAUGACCACCCCUUUAGUCCCGGUUGAACGACCCAGGACUAAAGAUCUCCGCGUCUCAAAAAUUUUAUCUCGGAUGCUUUUUAGAGAGAUUUGAGGCCUAUCAACCAAGACUAAUAUCGAGUUUUCUACCAGUGAAACUAACUAACGUUCACAUGGUUUUGACAUUCACCUGCCAUUUGGUGUAGACAAGGGCACCCUAACAUAUGGUUAAUAUUAUUCUUGAAAGAAAAUCCUUUGAUUCAAAAUACUUCAAACCUAAUAAUACAAUACUUCUCACAUCUGAAAAAUAUGAGACGGCCCGACAGUAUUCUAAUCGACGCAAUAAUAUUUUGAGGGCAGCACUACUACAGCGACCCUCAUUCGUGCCGGUGCUGGGACUCCUAUCACGACCCUGAUACAAAUGAGGGUACAUUAUUGGUGCCAGUGCUAGAACAGCCACGAAUAACUUGCUAAACGUGCUGUUACACUCACUACAGGGACCAAGAAGGUAGAUAAAUUACACGACAUAGCCUUGGUUGCCGUGGAAGCGCCAAGAAGGGAGACAAAUUACAGGGACCACACCAUCAAGUAGAUAGUGACAAUAUGCAAAAGAAUACCCGCGCCUGUUAGCAUGUGAACUGACCACACCACGAAACGUGAUACACGGCAAGCGUACCAAGGCCUUGCUGUGCAGACUAUGCAUGGACAACACAUGGUACCUGACCGCUUUUGGCCUCAGACACAUCGAAAAACUGCAUCGUUCCACGUUGUACAUCCAUUGCUAGUUUAUCUAUAUUACAUAAUAUAUUAUUAGCUAUUUGAAUAGAAUGAACCAAUUAAAAAAUUGCGUUGUAUUUUUAGUACCGGCUGCAGGAUGGUGUUACCAACCAGUACUAAUUGGCCUGUAGGAGUGAUGGUUAUUAGACUUGGUACUGUUGUUAGCAUCAUUAACCUAAUUGUGCGCCGUAUGAAUUUGGGGAUGCAAAGCUAGCUCUCUAUGAAUGUGAGGGAUGGAAAGCUAGUUCUCUAGUAGUAAUUAUAUAUAUGACAGUCAAGAAAUCGAACACUAUGCUGCUACGAGUCACCAUCAUUUCCUUCAUUGACAAUCUGACAUAGGUGAAGCUGCUUCAAUAAUUUCCUUCGCGCAGUCGUGGAGCUUAUUGGAUUAUCACCAGGACGGGACACGGAAAUGGCCAGCAAUGAAGCUGAUUGCCGUCUGAGGAAGACUACAUACUUACCUAUGAAAUGAAGCGAUUGCAUAGACUAAUGAAGCAUUGCAUAUUUGCAUGUGAGUGUGGCAGAUAAUUCUGCAGGACAUGAUUGCAAUCCACGCACCAUCGAGAAGACUGGGGCGAUGGGGUUGCCUCAUCAAUAAUCACGUGGAUGCAUGCAUGCAUGUUCCCGCAACCGGACAAGGGUCUGAUAUAUGGCUAUAGUAUUACUGAGCCCACAUCAAUAAUUUCCACUGGUGUAUCGUGUGGGAAGAAUCAACAUACUACACCUCGAGUUCUUGGAACUAACUGACGUUCACAUGCAACCUCCACAAGGUGCUGUAUGCUUUUGACAUUCACCUGCCAGUUCGUGUAGAGAAGGACACCCUAACGUAUAGUUAAUAUUAUCCAUUUCAUGAGUAAAAUACUGUGAUUCAAAAAUACUUCAAAUCCCUUGAGACAAUACUUCUCACUUGACUAACCACUAACCAACCCCGAAACCCUAACUCAACUCCGAACCCUAACCCCUAACGGCAUAACCACUCCGUUUUGCCGGCGAGAUGGAGGAACUGGCUGGAAGGUAGAGAGGGCAGCGGUCCAGGGUUGAAAACGACGGGCGAGCGCAGUAACAUGUGGAGGAGGAAGUGCCACGUAUUCGUUCACCGCUAUUGGGCAGCGACACACGACACGCCCAAUAAGAUCUUCGCACGGUAGAAGGACGUCAUGUAUUCAAUAAUGUUAUUGGUCCCCCAUGUGCAGAAGGGCGCGCGCGUAUGGAAUAACAAGUAGGGACACUGCAACUAAUCUACUCUGCUCGUCCAGUCCCUAGCCUAUAAAUAGAUGCCAUGCUAGCUCUUGUUGUGCUCACAAUUAAUCCGAUUACACACGAGCUUCUCUCCCUGGCCAAGACACAACCAUAGUAUGAUGAAGAACAUGGCACUAGCCGGCAAUGGUAUGAAGAAGUUAAUCCUCGCUGUUCUCUUACUGUGUCUAGUUAUAGGGCAGAUACAAGUGGAAGCUAAGAGCUGCUGCCCAUCCACCACUGCAAGAAAUGUCUACAAUACCUGCCGUUUCACGGGUACAUCCCGUCCAACGUGUGCAAAACUGUCAGGCUGCAAAAUUAUCAGCGGGAACAAAUGCAAGCCCCCUAACGACCACCUCACCCUUGACCCGGACACUGGUAAAUAAUAAAUUUAUCUCACUUGAUUUCUUCGUGAUUUGAGUCGUUAAUGUAUUUUCCAUCUGAUGAAACGUAUUGGUUUUGCAUUGAAGAGGAAGUUAAUGUGCUUAACUUCUGCAAGUUGGGGUGUGCGUCGUCUGUGUGCAACAACAUCAACGCUGGUAAGCAACUUUUGCUCAGACAGAGAAAACAAUAAUCAUUAAUUAGCGGCAGCUAGAAUCCUAUAAUCUAAUAUAUAUAUAUAUAUAUAAUUUUAUCAGCUCUGGGAAAUGAAGAGGCGAACGAUGCCGUUGAGAGUUGCGACCAAGCCUGCUCUAGCUUCUGCAGCGUGCAUGUUGGCAGCGCCACCGUGGUUGCUUAAGCAAAUGCAUCCAACUAGAUCGUCCUUGUGCUGAAUAAUUGGAUAUCGUAUCCACUUAAAGCUGCCUUGUGUAGUACGUCUUUGUGUCUCUCUUUAUAUUCCAAUAAGGUCGGUGAUCUUGAUGCCACACACUCAGAUGUGUGUUCAUCUCCAGAUACUACUCCAUGCUACCUGCCCUUUGUGUUUUGUUCAAUAACUGGGUAUCAUAUCCCAGCCAGUAUGCCGUCUGUUUUGUGUUUGUUUCCUUCUAGUUCCAAAGGGGUCAUCAUGAUGUUACCUUCUUUCAAUAUGGUGCUUUGCAUGACUACUGUUGUAUGGUACCAUCUUGUGGCCAAUAAGUACAUCUUAUCCUAUGACCUUUGCUAUGACCCUUUGCAAAUAAGUAGAAGAUUGUUAUAAGCGUCAAUACUCCGUAUAAAUUGAUCGCUGCUGUGAGUUCCCUUUCAGCUUAUCGUAGGCAUACAUUAUUGCUAGCACGGUAAAGCCAACCAACACGAAUGAUGAAGUAAACGUAGCGGUACUUCUGUAUACCAACACCCUUACUUAAAU
rnacentral:lncRNA from 1 species